GGAAGAGACGAAAAUACAACAAUAGAAGAAAUUUCAGUUGAAGAAAAACUUACAAUGAAUCAAUCAUUGAUUGAUAGUCGAUGUUGAACUGAGAGACUGAAGAAACAAAACAUUGGGGGUUGAAGAUAUCAAUAGUGAAGAAAUGUUGUAUUUGAAGAUGUUUGACAGAAGAUCUGCAAAAUAAUACCUUCAAAUUCUUUAACUCUGGAAACAUAAUCAGGGGGACUUAAAUAUAUUGUUACAUUUAGGUGUGAAUUGAAAACCAACGCAUACGGUUUCGAUUGUCAAUAGAGAAAGAACGAUACCUUCCAGAAGAUCGAAGUCCCUUCAAAAGCUUAUGAAUAAACAAUGGUGCACAUGGAUUGCGUUGUGGUUUCAUUUUGGUAUUAAGUGGCAGUACUAUGGGAAUAAGAUUCAACCGAUGAACCUCCGAUGAAUCAGCGAUGAACAAUAGGAAAUCUUUGUAAUUGUACAAAUGGUGUAUUAAAAAGAAUUCCCAGUACAGGUUUGUUAUUGACUCAAGUGCUGCAGGCCUACAUAAUGCCUUGAAGGACAGCAGAAAGAAGAUGUGUGAAUGCAGAUGGUAGUUUGCAGAGAUGCAAAAGAAUUAUCGGUUGAAAGCUUUGAAGACGCCCAUGAAGAAAAUAUUUUUAGAGGAUCGAUAUUUAUAUGUCUAAUGAAAAGGUAAAUUUGAAAUUUAAAACUGAUUUGCUGAAUAAUAGGAGUUGUUGAUUUCGAGUUUUGAAGCAAGGAAUAGGCGGGAAAAACAGUCAAAACAUAGUUGUGGUAGUGACACGUGGCAAGAAGGUGGAUUAAAAGGAUGACAUGUGGCAGUUUAGGGAGGCUUUUAUUAGGGAAGGAGAUUACUAUUACUAUGAGGUGACAUUUAAUAGGUAGAAGUUGAAUAAAAAUGAAAAAAUAUAUAUAAAAAUGACAAGUGGAAAAAAAAUAAUUUUAAAAUUCUAAGAAAAUGACAUGUGUCAAAUUCAAUAAGAA